AUGGCCUGGACCCCACUCCUCCUCCUCCUCACUCUCCUCCUUCACUGCACAGGGUCUCUCUCCCAGCCUGUGCUGACUCAGUCGCCCUCUGCCUCUGCCUCCCUGGGAGCCUCGGUCAAGCUUACCUGCACUCUGAGCAGUGGGCACAGUAGCUACAACAUCGCAUGGCAUCAGCAGCAGCAAGGGAAGGCCCCUCGGUACUUGAUGAGGCUUAACAGUGAUGGCAGCCACAGCAAGGGGGACGGGAUCCCUGAUCGCUUCUCAGGCUCCAGCUCUGGGGCUGACCGCUACCUCACCAUCUCCAACCUCCAAUCUGAGGAUGAGGCUGAUUAUUACUGUCAGACCUGGACUACUGGCAUUCACACAGUGACACAGGCAGAUGAGGAAGUGCGACAAAAACCUCUGCCUGUUUAG